UGAUAACUUUCAUUUCUAUAAACGAUAGUUUAAAGUAUUUUCGACACAUAUUUGUUUUAAAAGUACGCCAACUUGUAUAUGAAGUGGUGUUGCUGCAAAACGCAUGUGUGAAAGAUGGAUAACAAAAGAAAGAGUACAUUUAAAGUUAAAAGUAACUCCAAACCUUCGAGCAGCAGUCGUAGUGCUGAACUUCUUGGGACACAAACUAUUAUUUCAUUCCCCACACAAUCUAAGAAAAACAAUCGGUCAAACGAAAUAACGCAUUUCUCUGACGCUACAACUAAUACAACCCUCCAUAAUGCCAUUCGUAAACUUAAUAAAAAAGACCCAACUACUAAAAAAAAGGCUUUGGAAGAGCUUAUUCAUGAUAUAAAUAAGGCGAAUGUCGAAGAAAUUGUGACAAUUUUACCGCUCUGGACUAAGACCUACAUUGAAUUAGCAUAUGAUCCGAUACACAACAUACGUGAACUUACACAGGAAGUGCACAAUAUACUUGUUUCGAAAUGUAAACGCAUGAUAGCCCCAUACCUAAAGGAAUUAGUACCCGUUUGGAUUUGUUCUCAAUUUGAUAAUUACGUUCCUGCUGCUAAUAUUGCGCGGUCCAGCUUCUUUAAUAUUUUCAAUGCAAAAACAAACCGUGUUAAGGAAGUUUGUUUACAUUGUCAAUCAGAGAUACUAGAAUACGUUUUUAAUAAUAUUUCAGAACCGUCAGAUAACAGAAAUGGUACUGACAUUUAUGUGUGUUAUAAUAAAGUUUACGGAAGCCUCGAAGUCCUUUCAUUUUUUGUCGAACAAACGAAACCCGCAGAUCUGUCUUCAAAUUCACAUAUUAUAAUACGUUCCCUUAUGGAGAAUAAAUCCUUUUGGAAAUGGGGAAGAAAUGACAAUAAAUUAACAAGGAGAGCAUGGUUCAAAGCAAUACAGAAUAUGAUUUUAAACACAUCUCUAAGCGCUAUAAUUUUUGAAUGGAAAAAGAAUAUUAUUGAUAUAUGUUUUACUGGAAUUAAUGAAAACGAUCGAAUGUUAUCUCUCCGUAUGUGGCAGUGCAUACUACUAGUGCAAUCAACCUAUGAUGACUGGUAUAAAUUUUUGGACUUCAAUAGUGCGGUUGAAGCCAGACUGACGAACUUGCUUCAAAAUAAUUUCUUUAAUAACUAUGAAAACACCUGCCCUAAAAUGCUACCAUUUUGUACCGCAUUAAUGUUUGUAUCUACUAGUGAUUUCGAUUGGUAUAUUUUUAUGGAGAAAUUUCUAGAGAAUUUUAAAAAUAUUUUUUGUUCCGAAAAUUUUAAUGCUAAUGAAACAGAUUAUAAAGUUGUGUUCACUUCAUAUUUUGACUGUUUAAAUUUGGUAUUGAAUAAGAUGAAUAGUUUGGAUAUUUCGCUCGAAGAGAAACAACAAAAUACAAUUGAACUUCUACAUAAAAACAUAAUUGACCCUACAAAAUGGUUAAUUAGAGCAAAUAGAAGUAAUAUUUGUAAACUAUUUUUUGAGCACACUCUUCAAAUGUUAGCUGACACUAAAAUAGAAAGUGAACAUAAUCAACAGAUUCGAGCAUAUCUUUUAAAGGAUUUCUGGAUUUCGAUAUUUGAAUUGAUAACUUCACUAAUUACUGACCAAGAGCAUUAUCCUGAAGUGAUUAUUGAUAUAUUCCAAAAUCUAGUGAAAUUUGGUGAGGGAGGCUUUAGUACAAAAUUGGAUACAUUGCAAACAGACGUUUUAAUGGAAACUAGAAAUGAGAAUCAAUUAACAAACCUUGCUUCCGAAUUAGUUAAUCAUUGUUUAAAGCGAAUUGCUAGUAAAGAAGGCGAAAGUUGCCUAAAACACUUGCUGUUAUUUAUGGAUAUGUUUUCCGAUACCAAAUUUAAUAUAAAUAUUACAAACAACUUCGAUGUUACAAAGUCUUUAAACAUAUUUAUUGACUUAAUACCAACGGCGACUGAAAAUCUUUACGUUGAUAUUGCCGAGAUUAUAUUCAAAUUUAUAAAUUUUUUGGAUGGUGAUCAACAAUAUGAUUUUAUCAACAAUGCAUUAAUCUUCGUGUCUUCGAAAGAUAUGCGGAUUUUGAUUAUAGAGCGUAUACUGUUGCAACCAUUGAAAAUUGGUAAACGUAAGUAUAUGUUGUUAUCCAGCCCAGAUGUCAGGAAAAUAAUAACAGAUCUUACAAGAGAAGCAUUAUUUGAAAAGUCCGAAGAGAAAAUUAAUUGGUUGCAAACGCUGUUUCUACAAAAUGAUAGUGGUAACUUCUUUAUUAGUUCCACUACUGUAGAUGAGGUUAUAACCAUUAUUUUUGCGCCUUUUGAAGAAGAUAACAAUAAUGAGUUGGUUGAAUUAUGCGGCAAUAUUAUUUCCAAAGUUUUGCCGAAGAUAUUUUCUUGCAGAAGUGUUUUUAACAAAACGAAAACGAAGGCGUUCACGAAGCUAUUCUCGUUUUUGAUUCUACAUUCAGAAAAUAAUCUACUUAAGGUAGAAACAUUUUUCCAGCUGUCUAAGUGUUGGGAAAGUAUGUUAUGCGAUGAAUAUAUCGUAAAUGAAGUCACAGUUUUACAUUGCAUUUCAAAUUUGAGAACGAUGAACGCACUUACAUUGGUAAAAACAUCAAAAUGUGCAGAUUUAAUAAUUCGAUUUAUAUUCCGCACUACUACCAAGUACACUACAACUAAAAUGAAAAAUAUAAUACAAAACAAUUUGAUAAAUAUGUUUAUAACCACUAAGGACGUUUCCGCAUUGCAUGAACAAUUUAAAAACUACGUUUUAUUUAUGGAAGCUGUAAAUGGCAUGUCUACAAAACAAGAAGUGCAUUAUAAAUGUUUCGAAGUUCAGAAUAUAGUCACCAUCUUACAGCGAUCCCUUUUGAACAUUUAUAUCUUCAAACGAUUACAAGAUUCUAACGAAAUGGACAUAAUAAAUUGCAAUUUAUACCAUGAAUUGCUCAAUUGUAUAAUUUGUACAUCUGCUGCAGAAAGUGUUCUAAAGAUCAAACCCGAGGUAGGGGCUGCUCUGAAGGUUUGGAUUGAAGAACUACAAAAUCAACUUAAAUAUUUGAUACAAAAUGAGUCUAUCCUAUCCGAAAAAGUACAUGACAUUCUUCUUCGUAAUGCUAUAGAAGCUAACGAAAUCUCGUAUUUUCGUUCUCUACACAUUUUAAUUUUACAUCACCGAUAUUUGCCGUUCGAAGAAAAUGCAUCAAUCGUUUUUAACGAGGAACUGUUCAAACAUUGUAUUGCGCAAGGCGCUUUAUUAGCUUACAUUAAUUUCUUGCAGUAUCAAACUCCUCGACUGAAUUACAGAAGUAUUACAGUAAGCAACGUUUUUGAUUGUGCAAAGUCAACUGAUAUUUGGAUAAAAUGUGCAGCAUUGCGUUGUCUUGUUAUAAAUUAUUUUAAUUGCGAUGAAGGGAGAACAGGUGACAACAUUAUAAUUAAGCAGUUGUUGGAAUAUGUUCGAACAAUCAAUGAAGGACUUUUUAUAAACUUUAAAGUAGAUAUAAACGAACAAGGGUAUUCGGCCGUUAUUGAACUAAUUGAGUACAUUCGGUUGCUGACAGAAAUACUUAAAAAAAUGCCUUGGUGUCUAGGUGCUAAAGACUGGGAUAACAUCAUCAUUGGACUAGGUUCUUGGGUACCAAACGUGCACAAAUCGAUCGAAAAUAUCGUCAAUCCAAAGAUGGCUUUAUUUGUGAUAAAUGUUUGUAAACUAUUUUCUGCGUUCCUAGAGUUUAUAAAAGUCGAGAAGGACCGUAGUUCAACAAACAUGUUACAAAAUAUGGUUGAUGAGUGGGAAUCAUUAUUUUCAAAGGAUGCAAUUUGUAACAUUUUUGAAUCGUUUUAUGGUCUAUUACAUCUUCAAGAGAAGUUCACAGCCGAAUAUUUUAUGCCAUUAUUUAGUGAAUUAAAAAGAGUUAUAUUACUUUCCGAUGUCGAUGUUAUUUACAUUUUUUGCAAGAAUUCCCGAACCAUUUCUAAGAAGAAUGUUUUCAACAUUUUGCUCAAAAACUUCGCUAACUCUAACAUCUUUGUACAAAGGACAUGCUAUCAUAUUUUACGAGAGCUGACACAUGCAUAUGUUGUGGACGACAUUAAGAGUGUUCAUUCAUUAAAUGAAGACUCGAGUCUUGGUGUACAAAGUCAGCAUUAUUUAAAGUUAUUUGAAGAGGCUUUAACAUCUCAACUUACUUUUGUUAAUAAGUAUAUAUCAGAAUUCAGUUUCAAAAUAUCCGAAAUAGACGAAUUCGAACCUAUUGACAGAGAAACGGUAUUUAGCUACUUCCUGAUGUGGGACUGUAUAAUUCAUACAUGUGUUAAAUCUCCACUUAAUGUACGGAAUAUAUACACUUCCUGGCUUUAUGAAAGCAGAUUUUUCGAGAAAUUCUUACUGUUUGUUAUACGGGCGAUGCCGAUUGAAGUUUUAAAAAACCAUGACAGUAAAUUUCUAUCGGGUGAAAUUUUCAACCGUCUCUCCUGGAAACAACUUAACGAUGAAAAUUUAACUCUUGAAAGGUAUGCUUGCCAUUUGUAUACAGAAGUUUUGAAAAAAUUACCUGCAGUAGUUCGGAAGUGGUGGAGUGUUUCCCCAUCCCGCCAAAAAGCUUUUGUGGAUAAGUUGACCACUAAUUAUGUUUCACCUUUAAUCUGUGAAGAGGAGUUAAAAUCAAUAGGGGCAAAUAAGGAGAGACAUGAAAAUAUGCAAGUGGCGGUUCACUACUCAACGAGAGAAGUCAUAGCGACAUAUUUUAUUGAUGAUGUUCGAACCGAACUUACGAUUACGCUUCCAUCUAAUUAUCCUCUAGGUCCGAUUAAAGUUGAUUGUGGCAAAAGUAUUGGGGGACGCUUAUCGUCUCGUACUGAUGGCAUGCAGCUAGCAUUAUUCCUAAUGCAUCAGAAUGGAACAAUAAUAGAUGGACUAGCACUGUGGAAGAAUAACUUGGAUAAAAAGUUCGAAGGUGUUGAAGAAUGUUAUGUGUGUUACACCGUUAUUAAUCAGGAUACCUAUCAAUUACCCAAACUCACAUGCAAAACUUGCAAAAAGAAAUUUCAUGGAUCGUGCUUGUACAAAUGGUUUACCACCAGCAGUAAAUCAACAUGCCCAAUUUGUCGAAACGUUUUCUAGUAAAAUGAGUCAACCAUUUAUAAAAUAUGCAAAAUAAAUUGUGGACCAGGAAAGAUGAUAUUAAUUUCAAGGAUGAAUACGAUGGAAUUUCUAGUUACAUGGUAUAUUUGAAAAGGAUUUUUCGAACCAAAUU